GCAGGGAUGGCGCAGUGGUGAGAGCACUGGCUUCCCACCAAUGUGGCCCGGGUUUGAAUCUCGGACCCGGCG
rnacentral:tRNA from 1 species